rnacentral:rRNA from 1 species
UACGUAGGGUGCGAGCGUUGUCCGGAUUUAUUGGGCGUAAAGAGCUCGUAGGCGAUUCCGUAAGUCGAGUGUGAAAAAUCUGGGCUCAACCCAGUGGAGCACUCGAUACUGCGGUGACUGGAGUACGGUAGAGGAGUGUGGAAUUCCUGGUGUAGCGGUGAAAUGCGCAGAUAUCAGGGGGAACACCGACGGCGAAGGCAGCACUCUGGGCCGGUACUGACGCUGAGGAGCGAAAGCGUGGGGAGCAAACAGG